CCGCGGUAUUUUGACCGUGCUAAGGUAGCAUAAUCAUUAGUUUUUUAAUUGAAAGCUGGAAUGAAGGGCUGAAUGAAAAAAAAGCUGUCUCUAUUUAAUUAUAAUAAAACUUUAUUUUUAAGUUAAAAAGCUUAAAUUUUGUUAAAAGACGAGAAGACCCUAUAGAGUUUAAUAAUUUUAAUAUAUAUGAAAUUUGGAAUUAAUUUUUUUAUUUGUUUAAAAUUAUUUAAUUGGGGUGAUUAAAAAAUUUAAUAAACUUUUUUUAUAUAAUUAUAUUGAUUUAUAAAUUUUUGAUCCAAAAAUUUUGAUUAAAAGAUUAAAUUACCUUAGGGAUAACAGCGUAAUUUUAUUAGAGAGUU
rnacentral:rRNA from 1 species